rnacentral:lncRNA from 1 species
UUUAGCUCACUGAAAUUGUAGAUUACACAUGCAUGUAUUAUCUCUUAUGCACCAACAAAAUAGCAUAUUAAUAUAUAUGAGCAUGUACAAAUUGAUUAUUCAGGUGUUGAGUAGGAAGCAUACACCCAAUAAGGAUUGAUAACUUGAUCGAGGAAGAAACUUCAUUUCCUUAAUAGCAUUUGGCAGAUCAAGCUAUAGAAUAAAAUAAUAAAGUACCACCAGGCUGAUCUCUAAUUUUCACUCAGCUAACACAAACGCAUUUUACACUGUCGGACGAAUUGGUGAUGCGUUGUACAAGUCGUACUUCGGCUCGAACCUUCUCGGGACAGGUCAGAGGCAUCUAAGAAAUAAGAGAAAAUUAGGAAAAAAAUAAGAUGGUGAUUUGGUUAAUUUGAAGGAACUGUAAUUUGCAGGGAAGGGCAACGACUUUGCAACUCGGUGCUCACCCUCACUAUCAGCCGUCAGGUAGAAACAAUUUGUGCGCGCGCCGGGGGUCCUCUUAUUCCCAAUUCAUCUGCUCCCUGUGCCACAUCCGCCGCAUCCACAAGCUAUAGAUCUUUGGAGGAGCAGAUCACUACUGCUUCUAUGCUGAAGGUAUUACAACAGGUAAAACGGCAUCCUGAACCAAAUUUUAUAAAGAAAAGUAACCUGCAGCAGAAGUAGGUAUUUACUCUAUGCAAAAAAGAUACUACGGUACAAUACAUGAUAAUGCCUAGUCGAACUGAUGCAUCUGUUAGCUACAAAUGGUAGUAGGAUAGUACUAAAAGGACUAACUAUUCAAUUCUAGUCUCUAGAGAACAAAAUCACAUUGCUCCUAUUUUCUUAAAAUGAUAAACCAGUACUAAAGAGCUGAUAUUCCAAAUCUGAGUGCUCACCAAUUAAAUGAGAAUCCUAAGCAGAAAAAUGGGAGUGCAGGGAGGUCGCCAUUUAAGUGAAAUAGGUAAAAUCAGCCUUAACAAUGAUGAAAAGAAAUUAUGUCUGGAAAGGGUAUUUUCAGGAGUUAAUUGAUCAUUAUAUGGGUGCAGACCAAACAAAUAUAGUAUAUUAAGCAAAGACAAAUUAUAUAGAGAAACAUGGUUAAUUGAUCAUUAUAUGGGUGCAAAUUAUAUAGUAGAUAAAUCAAUCAUAUUGCCAUUGCUAACUCAAUAGAGAAAUGAAGUAAAUAUAGUAUAUUCAGCAAAGACAAACUAUAUGGGUGCAGUCCAAAAAAAUGUAUGCGUUAGUCUACUCAUUGAUGAUUAAACAACUAAUAUACUCUAAAGGACAAUUUUUGUCAUCACUCCCAAUGAAGAAACACUCCUGAUACUCAUCUGGCUGGCCGGACUCGGUAUCUCAGUGGUUCUUACCAUCAUUCUUCCUUUCUUUCUUCUCUACCUGUAGUGUUCCUUCACAGCUGCACCCGGGCACAAAAUGAGCAUAGAGACACAGAAUGGAAAAUAGUUUUCUGUAAUGUGUGACGACCUAUUAUUAAAACCGCAACCAAGUUAACAAUUAUACACACACCACACCAAUAACAUCAAAUAAAAAGGUCGGCCUGAGCAUAUAGUUCAAAAUGAUUACUGAUAUUUAGAUACAAAUGGUUGAAAAAAAAUAUGCAUGGAGAAGGUUACCUUAAAUUUACGUCGGCAAAAAAUUCAAGCUCUCCUGCUUUGGGCACUCAAUGCUUGCUUUAUUGCAAAAGAAUUCUUUCUUUCUUGCAUCAAUCUGUGUUGAAGUGAAACACUCGCUAAAGUAGCAGCCUAGUCUAGUCAUAAAGAUAAGGAACUACUUUAAAAUGAAUCAGAUUGUGCACAUUCAAUAACAAGAAUGACUAUCUUCAUUAACAGUCAUAUUCAACAUACCCUUAAGUUGACUAAAAUAGACUUGUUGUAAUUUACAGAAAAGAAAAUACAUGAGAUAAGUCACCUGCCUCAUCUAUCAUUUAGGAGAGGGUUAGUAUAUGAAGAAAGANNNN